AUUAACGAUAAUUUCAUAUUGAAUUAGGAAAUUAAGACGGGAAAACGAUGUCGUCUACGUUUCUGCUAAACCCUACAAGGGCUCUGGCUUGCACUGGAAACGGAUGGCUUAGGGUUUUGAAUUGGCAGGGUUACUCUCUUGAAUCUGGCUGAUCUCAUCGACAUCGACACAAAAUUCCGAAAUGUUCAAGAAUGAGCAUGGCCUCGUCUCCAAAACCCAGUCUUUUAUCGGACAAAACUACGGGCUUGUACUACACCAAGCAAUGCAACAUCUCGCAGAUGAAAUCUACGAAGAAACCUUAAAUUUGUCUCAUUUCGUCAUGUUCUACCAAUUAAUGCAAUAAAAAUCGAUCCUCUUGUAGAACCAUCUGGGUUUACUCUGCAUUGUCCUUCAGGAGCUGGAAAACAACAAAAGAGGAUCUUUCAAAUCAUAUUUGAUUGCAAAGUAGCUGUUUCCACCUAUAUCGGGACGCUCAAGUCCGUGUAGUGCUUCAAAAAGCAUAGCAUUGCUAGCUUCGGAUGUUUUCCAAGUAUAUAAAUUGGUUGCUGAGUUCUUAAGCAAAGAUUUGGGAGCUAGGAGAGUGGAGAAAGCCACUAAAUAGGUUAAUUCUUUGAUUGGGUGAUUCUUGUAUGUAUACAAGUGUGUGUUAUUGCAAGGAGAUGAGUGUGAAAAGUGAUUCAAAGUUAAUUUAUCGUUUUCAGAUUUGGUUAGUGUCUGGAAGGAUGGGCUUGAAGGCUUCUUGACCACUCACGAGUGAUAAAAUAUGUAAGGAGAUUAGUGUUGGAGGGUCAACAGUGAUAUUCUUGGCUGGAGUUGUUAUUUCUGAGAUAUUCUUGUUGAAGCUGUGCUUGGAUUUACGGAUGGGUAAUUGGGGAGUGGAGUUGGAGAAGGAGCUGAGGAGUUGGAUUGUUGGCUGGGGUUGCGGAGCUUCUUCUUCUUGGAUUUGAAGAAAGUUCUUUGAGAACAGUUCUGUAUGAUGCUGCUAUAUUGGUAGAAUAUUCUUUCCACAGUCCUGAUAGAGCAAUCAGUGUGCCAGGCAAUUGGGAGAGAGAUGUUGCAGUGAAAAGAUUGAUCACUACAAAUGAAGCCGUAGAGCUUUUCAGGACAAAUAGGGACCAAGAAAGAGCUAUUGCUUAUACUAUUUCAUUCUCCAUUUUCCAGACCAUCCCAAAUUAUCAAGUGUGUCAACAGCCAGGUUGGAAUGGAGGAAGAAGCAAGUAGAUUGAAGAGAGCAUCACCUAAAGCUCUGAUAAGUUAGUUAUUGUUUCUUAUUGUUAUAGGUAUCUGCAUCUUGUAGUUCUUGCUUCAAAACAAUCUGUUCCUGCAUCUUAUAUUUCAUGCUUACCUCAACACUUCAACACUAAGAAUCGAGAUUUGAAUCAAAAUCAGACCUUUUAACCAAAUUGAGAAUUGAGAUUUUGUUGAACUUUCAAUCACUGUGAUUCUAAUUUUGAUUUAAAAUUAUAUAAAAAAAAAAGCGAACGAUUCUUGUUCAUCCAGGAGCCGAACGCAACCUAACUUUGACCCCUCUUACCUAUCAGAUGUCACAUGACAUAUUAAAGGAUUUUAUGUAUCGUACAUAUCUUCUAUUCGUCUUGUCUAAUUCUGGAUAUUAGGCCCAUCUCUUUUUUUUUUUUUUUUUUUUUAAAUCAUUUCAUUUAAGGUUUUGAAUUUUCUUUAUAAAAUCUUAGCUAAGCUUAUAUAUAGAGCUAUCUCUUCAGUCUUCUCUCUCCACUCAAUAUGGCCAAUGCAAGCUUUGACCUGGACGAGGCACUCUCUUCUCUCGCUCUGAACUAUAUGGCCAAUGAAAACUUUGAUUUCGAAGAACGUCCAACUUUGCCGCAGGAGCGAAUCACAGCGUCAAAUUCUCUGGUGGAUGGGAUGCCAACGGUAGUUACAGAUGAUGUUUGUAUGGUUUGUAUGGAGGGUUUCGAGUCAAGUAUAGGUGGAAAACGAGUCCCAUGUGGCCACGUCUAUCAUUCUGUGUGCAUCUCCUCCUGGCUCUCCCACAGUAAUUCUUGUCCUUUGUGCCGCUGCAACAUCACCGGUGAGCAAUGAGCAUAUGUUAUUUAAGGCUGUGGCAGUUGUUAGUUUAAUCGUUGAAUAGAAGUUUCAGUUUUGCUUAUGUAAUUGAGGGUUUUGUUCUAAAAUAAAUCUUGACACAGUUAAAUUUGAUACAAUUUUUUCCAAAUA